rnacentral:lncRNA from 1 species
GAAAACUCCGCUACCACCGAUCACAGGCAACUCUCUAACCUUAUCGUUCGCGACGUUCCUUCCAGAGAUAGUAAUGGUACUCCCAUUAUACUUUCCUUCAAACAAGGCAAAGUUCUGAACCAUAAGAAAAUCGAGCUCGGUUUGUGAGGUAGCCGCAUAAAACCCUUGAGCUCUACCUAACAAUUUUGAGGUCAAGUUUGGUGUCAAGGUUAAAGGGUUGUCGAUUAUCCUCACCAAACCAAAAGCACUGAAAGAGUUGUUAAAUUUGGGAAGUGGUUGAAUGAUUGGAAUUGAAGUUGCGUUUUCUCCUCCCACUAUGUCUUGCCAGUAGAACCUAAA